UAUGUAUUGUAAUAUAAUCAAAAUAACAUGCGGUUCAAAAUCUCAGGGUCAAAACUAAAAUAUAUUUUACCUAUAUAAAACAUAAUACAAAAAUUCUAAUUCGACUACUUCUAUAACUUCCCCCUAAUCUAAACAAGAUGAGAGUUUAAUUGGAUGAGUUUUUCAACGCGCUCAGUAAAUAUAAGAAAUAAGAUAUACCUUAGGCAUGCGAUAUAUAAGCAAUUAAUCAAUUAGAUAUGUAAAACUUUUAUUUUUCUUUUUAUUUAAAAGCUAUGAAAUGCAGAGAAAUUCAAGUUUCUAAUUAUUCCUCAUUUUCCCACUAACUUCAAACUAACCUUUAUCCCUCAGUCUCCUGCUUUCUAACUAUCUCGCAUUAUCCCCCUAAUUCCCUUUAUUUCUUAAUUUUUAAUUAUAAUCUUAUUUACCACACACAAUUAUUUCAUCACAACUUCAGUCACAUUCGAGAUACCCAUACCCCAUUAACGAGUAUCCCUGAUUCUCAAUUUAUCUCUAAAAAAAUUAUUUAAUUAGAAUUUUCUUAAAAUUUAAAAUUUUAUUUGAGACUAAACUGAUGUAUUCGUCAUCCAAUUUGUACCAUUAUGUGAUCAAGAUUUUUACUAUUAAAGAGCAGUCACACAUAAAUUAUGCAACAACUGAUCACAAUAGACCGUCGCUAGGUGACCCAGAAAUAAACUGCAUCCCAACUACGUCUAGAAGGCCUUUCAUCCACCCAAGGAUAAAGUUUACCGCCCACUGAAUUUCAAACAUACCAAUCUUAAACGAGUUGUCUCUAAAUUUUUACUUUUUUCAAAUCUUUGUUUCAUUUUUUUUUCUUCAUAUUUUAGUUAAAAUUGACAUUUUUAUUUGUUUUAUUUUACAAUUUUGGAGUUUCACUCAUCACUCUCCCUUUUUUUUCCUAACUAAAUUCUUCCUAAUUCACUUUAGAUAUUUUAUUUUACUACUUGAAUUUUUAUUUGUUAAUAUUAAUUUACUUUAUGUAAUUCUUUAUGAUUAGUUAUUAUUGUUAUUGUUAGUAUUUAUUAUUAUUAUUUUAUUUUCUAUUUCCAUCAUUCUUGUAACAGCCCCGGUAAUUCAAAAUGGAAAUUAUAUUAUAAAUAUUAAAUGCGGAAGCGAAGACAAAAUUUGAUUAACAUUCCUUACACUAAAACCAAAAACGUGCUCACAAAAUAUAAAAGAUUAAACUACCUAAAGGGAAAACUUGAAAGUAAAAACUACGAAUGUGACUAUAGAGUCCUUAGGCGUCCCCUUCGUCGUCGUCCUGCGGAACCGGCUCGGGAACGAUGUUCUCUUGAUCUGAAAUGAUUAAAUAAGGAAUGAGCUACACUAGCCCAGUAAAGACAUCACGAUAUCUCACCAUCACGGAGGUAAAUGUGGGUAGAAAACACAAAAAGACCAAUAGAGCAUAAUUUACAACAAAUCCUUUUAUCGAAAAUAAAACCUUUACCAUUUACUUACCUCGGUGAAAUUCAUAAAACGAUAUACGAAAGCAAUAAUAUCAUCAUCAUCAUGAAAACAUAUAUAUGAACUGUAUAACAUAAUACCUAUCAC
rnacentral:lncRNA from 1 species